rnacentral:lncRNA from 1 species
AACUUAGCGAGAGUGGGGGUUUGUUCAGUUGCAGCACGGUAUACGAAUACCGUUUCGUUUCGCUCCUAAAUUGUAUCCUAGUACCUGAAUGUAUACAAGUGCUUAAGUGCCCCUAGAGAAAAAAGUACUUGUCAAGCAAUAAGUGCGUUUAUAGUUGAAAGUCUUAAUCAUCCGUGGGAAGACUAGCGAUGAAGAAUGGAAAAAUAUGCAUGCGGC